rnacentral:misc_RNA from 1 species
GAUGAAGAACGCAGCGAAAUGCGAUACGUAAUGUGAAUUGCAGAAUUCAGUGAAUCAUCGAAUCUUUGAACGCAUAUUGCGCUCUCUGGUAUUCCGGAGAGCAUGCUUGUUUGAGUAUCAGUAAACACCUCAACUUCCAUAUCUUUUUUGAAAUGGGAGUUGGACUUGAGUGAUCCCAACGCUUUUCCUCACCGAAAAGUGGCGGGUUACUUGAAAUGCAGGUGCAGCUGGACUUUUCUCUGAGCUAUAAGCAUAUCUAUUUAGUCUGCCUAAAAAACAGAUUAUUACCUUUGCUGCAGCUAACAUAAAGGAGAUUAGUUCUUGUGCUGACUGAUGCAGGAUUCACAAAGACAGGCUUCGGCCGACUUUGUAAACUCGAUCUCAAAUCAAGUAAGACUACCCGCUGAACUUAAGCAUAUCAAAGCGGAGGA